GUUUUUUCUCCCAUCUUACAGAUGAAAUCACGGAGGCUCAGGAGGUGUUCUUCACUAUGAGAUGUGCGUGAGGAACGACGGGCUGUCUCUUCCCAGGGGGUCCUAAAGACAGACCUUCAACACAGUACAAGGGUUAAACACGUAUGUUUCUUUCAGAGCACAAGGUCGCUGUCAAGGAACAGCUGAACAACCCUGGUGACUUUUCCUGUGACGUGGGGACAAGGCUGGGGCCGAGGCUGCAAACCAGGACUUUACUCUGAGAUGAAAAUAAAUCUUGUUGAGGCCUCUGUGCAGAGGAGGCUGGCUUGACUGCUGG
rnacentral:lncRNA from 1 species